AUGUGGGCUGAGGGCUCCUCCGGCUCCCGGCGCUCCUGGGGGGACGUGGGGGUGUCAGCGAGGGGCCUGGGGGGGUCCAGGCACCGGGGACCCCGAUAUCAGCCCUCCAACAUCGGCCACGCAACAUCAGUCCCCCAGGUCUGCAUCCGUUUGUGCUCCAACAUCCGCCCCCACCAUCAGCACUCCGACAUCUGCGCCCCAACUUCAUUACCCCCACAUCGUCUGCCCCGCGACAUCUGGAUCCCAAAUUCUGCACCCCAACAGCUGCACCCCAACACUGACACCCAAACAUCUGCGUCCCGCCCCAUCGCCAGCCCCCGACAUCACCAACACCUGCACAUCUGCACCCCAACACUGACCCUCACCUUCUGCACCCCAACACCAGCACCCCAACACCAGCACCCCAACAGUGACCUCCCAGCAUCUGCAUCUCACCUUUCUGCACCCCAACACCAGCACCCCAACAGCUGCAUCCCAUGUGCACUCCAACAUCUGCCCUCCAACUCCAGCACCCCAUCACUGGCCCCCAGACAUCAAUACCCCAACAUCUGCCCCACAGCUUCGUUACCCCAACAUCUGCCUUCCAACAUUGAUGCCCAACAUCAACAUCUGCAUCCCAACACUGGACCCCCAAUAUUGGCCCCCAAAAAUCUGCACCCCAACAUCACUACCCCAACGUCUCCAUCCCAACAUCUGCACCUCAACAUCAUUGAUCCCCAACUUCUGCACCCCGGCAUCAGCAUCUCAACAUCUGCACAACCCCAUUUGCAAACCAUCGGCCCCCAAAAUCUGCACCCCAGCAUUGGCACCCCAACAGCUGCACCCCAACAUCUGCACACCGACUUCCCCACCCAUAUCUGCAUCCCAACAUUGGCACUUCAAAAUCACCCCCCCAAAGCUGGUACCCCAGUACCUGCACCCCAAAUUCAACACCCCAACAUCAGACCCCAAAAUCUGCACCCCAGCAUUGGUACCCCAACAUCAGCCCCCCAACAUCUGCAUCCCAACAUCAAUACCCCGACAUCUGCACCCAAACUCAUCAGCAUCCCAUGUGCGUCCCAACAUCAGACCCCUAACAAACAUCUGACCCCAUGUCUGCACCCCAAUAUCUGCGUCCCAAUGUCUGCAUCCCAGCACAGGCACCCCAACAUGGGUAUCCCAACAUCUGCACCCCUUUAUUCAUCCCAUCGUUGUCCCCACAACAUCUGUCUCCUGCAUCCGACCCCAAACAUCAGUACCCAAAGAUCUGCACCCCAACAUUGGCACCCCAAAAUCUGCACUCCAGCAGUUGCACCCCAACAGACGCCUGGCCCCAUGUCUGCACCCCAAUAUCUGCAUCCAUCACAUUGGCAUCCCUUUAUGUGCCCCAUCGUCGGCCCCCCAACAUCUGCACCCCAAAAACUGCACCCCAGCAUCGCUACCCCAACGUCUGCAUCCCAACAUCGGCCCCCCAAUAUCUGUACCCCAAGAUCUGCUCCCUAA
rnacentral:lncRNA from 1 species